GACGAACCGAGCGAACGUUGUUCGGAAUCACUGGGCUUAAAGGGCGCGUAGGCGGGCUGUCAAGUCUGGGGUGAAAUCCCACGGCUCAACCGUGGAACUGCCUCAGAUACUGACGGCCUCGAGGGAGGUAGGGGCGAGCGGAACGGGUGGUGGAGCGGUGAAAUGCGUUGAUAUCACUCGGAACUCCGGUGGCGAAAGCGGCUCGCUGGACCUUUGCUGACGAUGAGGCGCGAAAGAUAGGGGAGCAAACGGG
rnacentral:rRNA from 1 species